rnacentral:ncRNA from 1 species
GGAUCGAGCGGCAGCCGGUGGGACGGCGGCCAGGAAUGGAUCUCGUGUCGGCUCUUCUCGGGUGAGGUCCGCGCCGUGGCCCCGGCGGCGCGCACC